rnacentral:misc_RNA from 1 species
UGAUGACAAGUCUCAAGAGCAUGAAUCAUGUUUGUAAUAAAUUUCUGUAACAUAUGUACAAUUUUAUCAGCAACAAUCUGUGCGUCUAUAUCAAGAAAAUCAGAAAAUACACAUAAAUGAUAUUUAAGUGAAAUAAUUAAAAAAAAAAUAAGCGUAAUGAAGUUCAACAUUGAAUGACAAAUACGAGAAUUUGACGAGACAACUUUAGCGUCUUUAAAUCGGGCGAUCCGCGAAGCCAAUUUGCAAUAUGAAAAAUUUGUAGAAGAAGAAGCGGAACUUCUAAAACGAACAGAUAAUCUUCGAAGUCAGUUAGAGAUAGAAAAAAUUCGCAGAAACGCGUACUCAAUGCAAAUGGAAGCCUGUUUCAAAGAAUUUGAAGAAUUAAGAAACAAAGUAGNUGAAGGUAUUUCUAAAGUUUGGGACCAAAGGUCGUCUCUAUGCAAUGAGGUUCAAAAUGCAUCUGAUAAAUGUGAUGUUUGGACACUGCUUAUAAGGCCUACAUGGAACGACCUAUCGCCGAAACCCAUUAAAAAACCUGAGAAUUCAGUUGAGAAUUCUAUUAUUGAAGAUAAACUGAAAAAGGCACUAGAGAGACGAGAUAAGGCCAUCUCAGAACGUAAGCGUUUGAUGGCGGAGCCGGAUGAAGGGGAAGAAUUUAUAAGAAUUAAAAAUGCACUUCGAUAUUCUUCGGAAAUGGUAGAAAACUUACAGAGACAACAGACAUAGAAGAUAUUGGAGCGUACAAGUUGAACAUAUUUUUAGGUCUCUCGAACCCCCAUAUUUUUACACAACUAUGUUAGGAAACAUUUCCGCCCACUCAGAAAUUUCAGCAGUAAAGUUGAAAUCAAUGAAAAUGAACCAAUCAAAUUUACAACAAGUGCUGCAGCAAGAAAAACAGCAUUACCC